rnacentral:tRNA from 1 species
GGAUUGUAGCUCAGCGGUAGAGCGCUCAUCUAGCAUGUGCGAGGCCUUGGGUUCAAUCCUCAGCACCA